ACUAAUUUAGAAAAUAAACAUUUUCCGAAGUAAUGUAUAAAAUAGAUACAGAUUAAAGACAAUAAAUAUAGUAGGAUAUAAAUGGGUGAUGGAAUUGAUGUUCACCUUCCGAAGUACUAGUUGGACAAAAUAAAUUCAACUAAUUAUCUAGAAUAAAUAAUCCAAAGAUGUUACAUUCAGUACCAAAAACAUAAGCUGACAAGGUGACAAUAAAAAUUGGAGAUUACGUUUUUCCGAAGUACUAAUUCAAAGGAAUAGAUAAAGUUGCGAUUGUUCAUAUAAUAUUACAAUCCAACUAAAUAUUUAGUAGGAAUUAUCCAAAGUUGUUACAUACUUCCAAAGAUGUUAUAAAUAAAAGAGUGGUAAAAUAUGGAUACAAUUUAUAUUGGAAAUGGAAAUUAUUUGUACCUUCCGAAGUACUAAUUCAAAGGAAUAGAUAAAGUUGCGAUUGUUCAGAUAAUAUUACAAUCCAACUAAAUAUUUAAUAGGAAUUAUCCAAAGAUGUUACAUACUUCCAAAGAUGUUAUAAAUAAAAGAGUGGUAAAAUAUGCAUACAAUUUAUAUUGGAAAUGGAAAUUAUUUGUACCUUCCGAAGUACUAAUUCAAUGGAAUAGGUUAAGUUGUGAUUGAUUAGAAAAUAUGGGAAUACAACUAAUUACUUAGUAGGAGGAACCCAAAGAUGUAUUCAAAGAUUUAAAUUUGAAACAAAUAAACGAGUCGGUGAAAAAAUUUGGUCUUUAAAUAUAUAUGAAAAAAAC